rnacentral:tRNA from 1 species
GGAGAGGUGCCCGGAGUGGUUUAUCGGGGAUCGGGGCUCACGCCCAUAUCAGGCCCUCACCGGCCUACGCAGGUUCGAAUCCUGCCCUCUCCG